CUAUGUUUUAUCCCUUUUUUUAGUACUGGUCGGGAGAGUAACAAAAGAGGAACUUCCUAAGGGAAGAACUGACAUAAAAUAUCACUUUAGACUUCUUAAGUCGUUGAAGGGUGUUCAUGAAAAAAUUGGUUCAACAAUCAUUAUAGAGAUGCCAUUCUCUACUUCGGAAUGUGGUACUAGAUUGACUGAAGGAGAACAGUAUUUAUUGUCAGGUCACAGGGAUAAAAAAACAGGAACGAUAUCUACCUUGACAUGUGGAAACUUCAUUUAUAAGGACGCUGAUGUUACAUUUGAGUUGAUGAUGUACUUUUUCAGUGGUGGUUCUGAUUCAUACAGACAAAACUGUGAUUGUAAAGAAAUUGUAAAUCCUAGGCACGAACCUGGAAAAUUUGACCCAAGUAAAGGUUGUAAGCUUCCCUCAGGAUUGAACACUGACACUGAUUGUUAUCGUAAAAAGGGAUUAUGCAAGAGAACGGGAAGUGUGUGUGGCUGGAAAAACGUCGACUGUCCAUGAUUUCAAGAAUGUCAAAAAAUAAACUUGAUAAUAAGCAUUGUGUGGAUCUUUUAAUGCCAAUUCUACAGAAUAUAUAUGUUUAUUUGAUGAA